CUGAGUACGGCGGAACACGUGAAAUUCCGUCGGAAUCCGGGAGGACCAUCUCCCAAGGCUAAAUACUCCCUAGUGACCGAUAGUGAACCAGUACCGUGAGGGAAAGGUGAAAAGCACCCCGGAAGGGGAGUGAAACAGUUCCUGAAACCGUGUGCCUACAAGUAGUUAGAGCCCGUUAAUGGGUGAUAGCGUGCCUUUUGUAGAAUGAACCGGCGAGUUACGAUUUGUUGCAAGGUUAAGCGGAAAAAGCGGAGCCGUAGCGAAAGCGAGUCUGAAUAGGGCGCAUAAGUAACAGGUCGUAGACCCGAAACCAGGUGAUCUACCCAUGUCCAGGAUGAAGGUAAGGUAAUACUUACUGGAGGUCCGAACCCACGCACGUUGAAAAGUGCGGGGAUGAGGUGUGGGUAGCGGAGAAAUUCCAAUCGAACUUGGAGAUAGCUGGUUCUCUCCGAAAUAGCUUUAGGGCUAGCCUCGAGGUAAAGAGUCAUGGAGGUAGAGCACUGUUUGGACUAGGGGCCCUUCUCGGGUUACCGAAUUCAGAUAAACUCCGAAUGCCAUGUACUUAUACUCGGGAGUCAGACUGCGAGUGAUAAGAUCCGUAGUCGAAAGGGAAACAGCCCAGACCACCAGUUAAGGUCCCCAAAUAUAUGUUAAGUGGAAAAGGAUGUGGGGUUGCUUAGACAACCAGGAUGUUGGCUUAGAAGCAGCCACCAUUGAAAGAGUGCGUAAUAGCUCACUGGUCGAGUGACCCCGCGCCGAAAAUGUACCGGGGCUAAACAUAUUACCGAAACUGUGGAUGAACCUCUUUAGAGGUUCGUGGUAGGAGAGCGUUCUAAGGGCGGUGAAGUCAGACCGGAAGGACUGGUGGAGCGCUUAGAAGUGAGAAUGCCGGUAUGAGUAGCGAAAGAAGGGUGAGAAUCCCUUCCACCGAAUAUCUAAGGUUUCCUGAGGAAGGCUCGUCCGCUCAGGGUUAGUCGGGACCUAAGCCGAGGCCGAUAGGCGUAGGCGAUGGACAACAGGUAGAGAUUCCUGUACCAGUGCUAAUUGUUUAACCGAUGGGGUGACACAGAAGGAUAGGGAAUCGCACGAAUGGAAAUGUGCGUCCAAGCAGUGAGUGUGAGAAGUAGGCAAAUCCGCUUCUCGCGAAGCAUGAGCUGUGAUGGGGAAGGAAAUUAAGUACGGAAGUUCCUGAUUUCACGCUGUCAAGAAAAGCCUCUAGGAAGAGUAGUACUGCCCGUACCGCAAACCGACACAGGUAGAUGAGGAGAGAAUCCUAAGGUGAGCGAGAGAACUCUCGUUAAGGAACUCGGCAAAAUGACCCCGUAACUUCGGGAGAAGGGGUGCUCUAUUAGGGUGCAAGCCCGAGAGAGCCGCAGUGAAUAGGCCCAGGCGACUGUUUAGCAAAAACACAGGUCUCUGCAAAACCGUAAGGUGACGUAUAGGGGCUGACGCCUGCCCGGUGCUGGAAGGUUAAGAGGAGUGCUUAGCUUCGGCGAAGGUACGAAUUGAAGCCCCAGUAAACGGCGGCCGUAACUAUAACGGUCCUAAGGUAGCGAAAUUCCUUGUCGGGUAAGUUCCGACCCGCACGAAAGGCGCAACGAUCUGGGCACUGUCUCAACGAGAGACUCGGUGAAAUUAUAGUACCUGUGAAGAUGCAGGUUACCCGCGACAGGACGGAAAGACCCCGUGGAGCUUUACUGCAACCUGAUAUGGAAUGUUUGUACCGCUUGUACAGGAUAGGUAGGAGCCGAAGAGACGUGUGCGCUAGCAUACGAGGAGGCAAUGGUGGGAUACUACCCUGGCUGUAUGACCAUUCUAACCCGCCACGCUUAGCGCGUGGGGAGACAGUGUCAGGUGGGCAGUUUGACUGGGGCGGUCGCCUCCUAAAGAGUAACGGAGGCGCCCAAAGGUUCCCUCAGAAUGGAUGGAAAUCAUUCGCAGAGUGUAAAGGCACAAGGGAGCUUGACUGCGAGACUGACAAGUCGAGCAGGGACGAAAGUCGGGCUUAGUGAUCCGGUGGUUCCGCAUGGAAGGGCCAUCGCUCAACGGAUAAAAGCUACCCCGGGGAUAACAGGCUUAUCUCCCCCAAGAGUCCACAUCGACGGGGAGGUUUGGCACCUCGAUGUCGGCUCGUCGCAUCCUGGGGCUGUAGUCGGUCCCAAGGGUUGGGCUGUUCGCCCAUUAAAGCGGCACGCGAGCUGGGUUCAGAACGUCGUGAGACAGUUCGGUCCCUAUCCGUCGCGGGC
rnacentral:rRNA from 1 species